rnacentral:misc_RNA from 1 species
CGCACAUUGCGCCCAUGAGUAUUCUCCUGGGCAUGCCUGUUCGAGCGUCAUUUCAACCCUUAAGCCUAGCUUAGCGUUGGGAAUCUACCGUGGGCGUACAGCCCGGCAGUUCCUGAAAACCAACGGCGGACUUGUAGUAUCCUCUGAGCGUAGUAAUCUCUCUCGCUUUUGUUAGGUGCUGUGAAUCUGGCCGCUAAACCCCCAAUUUUUAAAGGUUGACCUCGGAUCAGGUAGGAAUACCCGCUGAACUUAA